rnacentral:rRNA from 1 species
AGAGUUUGAUCAUGGCUCAGGACGAACGUUGGCGGCGCGCUUAAUGCAUGCAAGUCGAGGGAGAAGCGUUGGUUCCGUAAGGUUCCGACGUGGAAACCGGCGAACGGGUGCGUAACACGUGAGAAACCUGCCCCCCAGACCGGGAUAGCCCAGGGAAACUUGGAUUAAUACCGGAUACUCUCUCAGGACCGCAUGGUCCUGUGAGGAAAGGUCCGCUGCUGGGGGAUGGUCUCGCGGCCUAUCAGGUUGUUGGUGAGGUAACGGCUCACCAAGCCGAAGACGGGUAGCUGGUCUGAGAGGACGAUCAGCCACACUGGAACUGAGACACGGUCCAGACUCCUACGGGAGGCAGCAGCAGGGAAUAUUGCACAAUGGGCGAAAGCCUGAUGCAGCGACGCCGCGUGCGGGAUGAAGGCCUUCGGGUUGUAAACCGCUUUCAGGAGGGAAGAAACUGACGGUACCUCCAGAAGAAGCUCCGGCCAACUACGUGCCAGCAGCCGCGGUAAUACGUAGGGAGCGAACGUUGUCCGGAAUUAUUGGGCGUAAAGGGCUCGUAGGCGGUUCAAUAAGUCGGUCGUGAAAGCCCGGGGCUCAACCCCGGGAUGCCGGUCGAAACUGUUGUGACUUGAGUUCGGUAGAGGUGAGUGGAAUUCUCAGUGUAGCGGUGGAAUGCGCAGAUAUUGAGAGGAACACCAUUAGCGAAGGCGGCUCACUGGGCUGAUACUGACGCUGAGGAGCGAAAGCGUGGGGAGCAAACAGGAUUAGAUACCCUGGUAGUCCACGCCGUAAACGAUGAACACUAGGUGUAGCGGAUCGAUUCACAUCUGCUGUGCCGUAGCUAACGCAUUAAGUGUUCCGCCUGGGGAGUACGGCCGCAAGGCUAAAACUCAAAGGAAUUGACGGGGCCCCGCACAAGCGGCGGAGCAUGCGGCUUAAUUCGAUGCAACCCGAAGAACCUUACCUGGGUUUGACAUCAUGGGUCUAGCUGUGGAAACACAGUGUGCUUGCGCGCCCAUGACAGGUGGUGCAUGGCUGUCGUC